rnacentral:rRNA from 1 species
GGGCAACUGGUACGCUCUACACCCUUUGUGACAUACCUAUAACUGUUGCUUCGGCGGGUAGGGUCUCCGUGACCCUCCCGGCCUCCCGCCCCCGGGCGGGUCGGCGCCCGCCGGAGGAUAACCAAACUCUGAUUUAACGACGUUUCUUCUGAGUGGUACAAGCAAAUAAUCAAAACUUUUAACAACGGAUCUCUUGGUUCUGGCAUCGAUGAAGAACGCAGCGAAAUGCGAUAAGUAAUGUGAAUUGCAGAAUUCAGUGAAUCAUCGAAUCUUUGAACGCACAUUGCGCCCGCCAGCAUUCUGGCGGGCAUGCCUGUUCGAGCGUCAUUUCAACCCUCAAGCUCUGCUUGGUGUUGGGGCCCUACAGCUGAUGUAGGCCCUCAAAGGUAGUGGCGGACCCUCCCGGAGCCUCCUUUGCGUAGUAACUUUACGUCUCGCACUGGGAUCCGGAGGGACUCUUGCCGUAAAACCCCCAAUUUUCCAAAGGUUGACCUCGGAUCAGGUAGGAAUACCCGCUGAACUUAAGCAUAUCAAA